GCCGGGUGUCGUAGCGGGCACCUGUAGUCCCAGCUACUCAGGAGGCUGAGGCAGGAGAAUGGCAUGAACCUGGGAGGCGGAGCUCGCAGUGAGGCGAGAUUGCAUCACUGCAUUCCAGCCUGGGCAAGAGAGCGAGACUCCAUCUCAAAAAAAAAAAAAAAAAAAGGAAAAAAAGGAAAGAAAAUUCACAACUCUAUUUUUUUUUUUUCCUGAGACAAAAUCUCACUCUGUUGCCCAGGCUGGAGUGCAGUGGUCGGAUCUCAGCUCACUGCAAGCUCCGCCUCCCGGGUUCACGCCAUUCUCCUGCCUCAG
rnacentral:sRNA from 1 species